GAUGAACGCUAGCGGCAGGCUUAAUACAUGCAAGUCGAGGGGCAGCAGUUUUGUAGCAAUACAGAAGCUGGCGACCGGCAAACGGGUGCGGAACACGUACGCAACCUUCCUCUAACUGGAAGAUAGCCCACCGAAAGGUGGAUUAAUAUUCCAUAGUAUAUUGAAAAGGCAUCUUUUUGAUAUUAAAGCUCCGGCGGGUAGAGAUGGGCGUGCGUCUGAUUAGGUAGUUGGCGGGGUAACGGCCCACCAAGCCUACGAUCAGUAGCUGAUGUGAGAGCAUGAUCAGCCACACGGGCACUGAGACACGGGCCCGACUCCUACGGGAGGCAGCAGUAAGGAAUAUUGGUCAAUGGACGCAAGUCUGAACCAGCCAUGCCGCGUGGAGGAUGAAGGCCCUCUGGGUUGUAAACUUCUUUUCUUUGGGACGAAACCCCUGUUUCUACGGGGACUGACGGUACCAGAGGAAUAAGCACCGGCUAACUCCGUGCCAGCCGCCGCCGUAAAAC
rnacentral:rRNA from 1 species